rnacentral:tRNA from 1 species
GAUCCGGCGGUCGAAGGAAGACGUUAAAUUGCAGGUUUAGAGAGGUAAGGGGUUUACACGGAUUU